rnacentral:piRNA from 1 species
UGAAAUUGAGUGCAGCUGAGAGUCCUUCCAA